CCUACGGGACGCACCAGUGGGGAAUAUUGCACAAUGGGCGCAAGCCUGAUGCAGCCAUGCCGCGUGUAUGAAGAAGGCCUUCGGGUUGUAUAGUACUUUCAGCGGGGAGGAGGGUGUAGUGGUUAAUAACCACAGCAAUUGACGUUACCCGCAGAAGACGCACCGGCUAACUCCGUGCCAGCAGCCGCGGUAAUACGGAGGGUGCAAGCGUUAAUCGGAAUUACUGGGCGUAAAGCGCACGCAGGCGGUCUGUCGAGUCGGAUGUGAAAUCCCCGGGCUCAACCUGGGAACUGCAUUCGAAACUGGCAGGCUAGAGUCUUGUAGAGGGGGGUAGAAUUCCAGGUGUAGCGGUGAAAUGCGUAGAGAUCUGGAGGAAUACCGGUGGCGAAGGCGGCCCCCUGGACAAAGACUGACGCUCAGGUGCGAAAGCGUGGGGAGCAAACAGGAUUAGAUACCCCUGUAGUC
rnacentral:rRNA from 1 species